rnacentral:rRNA from 1 species
UGUAUAUCCAAUAGCGGAGGAAAAGAAACCAACAGGGAUUGCCCUAGUAACGGCGAGUGAAGCGGCAACAGCUCAAAUUUGAAAGCUGGCUCCGGCCCGCAUUGUAAUUUGCAGAGGAUGCUUCUGGUGAGGUGCCUUCCGAGUUCCCUGGAACGGGACGCCAUAGAGGGUGAGAGCCCCGUAUGGAUGGACACCAAACCUGUGUGAAGCUCCUUCAACGAGUCGAGUAGUUUGGGAAUGCUGCUCUAAAUGGGAGGUAAAUCUCUUCUAAAGCUAAAUACCGGCCAGAGACCGAUAGCGCACAAGUAGAGUGAUCGAAAGAUGAAAAGCACCUUGAAAAGGGGGUUAAACAGUACGUGAAAUUGUUGAAAGGGAAGCGCUUGUGACCAGACUUGCGCCGGGCAGCUCAUCAGGGGUUCUCCCCUGUGCACUCUGCCCGGCUCAGGCCAGCAUCGGUUCUCGUGGGAGGAUAAGAACGGUUGGAACGUGGCCCCCCUCCGGGGGGGUGUUAUAGCCUACCGUACGAUACUCCCGUGGGGACCGAGGUUCGCGCUCCGCAAGGAUGCUGGCGUAAUGGUCAUCAGCGACCCGUCUUGAACCACGGACCCAA